rnacentral:rRNA from 1 species
UACGUAGGGGGCAAGCGUUGUCCGGAUUUAUUGGGCGUAAAGAGCGUGUAGGCGGCCAAGCAGGUCAGCUGUGAAAACUCGAGGCUCAACCUCGAGACGUCGGUUGAAACCGCUUGGCUAGAGUCCGGAAGAGGAGAGUGGAAUUCCCGGUGUAGCGGUGAAAUGCGCAGAUAUCUGGAGGAACACCGGUGGCGAAGGCGGGUCUCUGGGCCGGAACUGACGCUAAGGAGCGAAAGCGUGGGGAGCGAACAGG